rnacentral:misc_RNA from 1 species
GUGAAUCAUCAAAUUUUUGAACGCAAAUUGCACUCUCUGGUAUUCCGGGGAGUAUGCCUGUUUGAGGGUCGUUAGAAGAAAAAUCGAAGUUUCGCUCUUUUUUUUGAGUGUGAUCGCGUCGGAAUUGAGCCGUCUUUCACAUGUUAAUUCAUGUCAAAGUGGCUUAAAAUUCAUCUAUCUGUUACGAUUAUAGAGUAUUUACGAUCAAUUUUGAUUAAGAACGCGCGAUGACGUACCAUCUCAUGUAGUACGUUUGACCUGGGUCAUCAGGUACAUUCGUAUACGAUACUCAAACUUUUGA